AGAGCGAACGCUGGCGGCAGGCCUAAAACAUGCAAGUCGAACGGACCCUUCGGGGUUAGUGGCGGACGGGUGAGUAACACGUGGGAACGUGCCUUUUGGUUCAGAACAACUCAGGGAAACUUGAGCUAAUACUGAAUAAGCCCUACGGGGGAAAGAUUUAUCGCCAUUAGAGCGGCCCGCGUUGGAUUAGCUAGUUGGUGAGGUAAAGGCUCACCAAGGCUACGAUCCAUAGCUGGUCUGAGAGGAUGAUCAGCCACACUGGGACUGAGACACGGCCCAGACUCCUACGGGAGGCAGCAGUUAGGAAUCUUGCGCAAUGGGCGAAAGCCUGACGCAGCCAUGCCGCGUGAAUGAUGAAGGUCUUAGGAUUGUAAAAUUCUUUCAGCGGGGAAGAUAAUGACUGUACCCGCAGAAGAAGCUCCGGCUAACUUCGUGCCAGCAGCCGC
rnacentral:rRNA from 1 species